CCGAAGGCCGGCCGGCGUCCCGGGCGUGGGUGCGGGACCGCCCUCUGUGGUCUUGGGCGGUGGGAUCCCGCGUGUUGUUUUCCCGGUGGCCCGGCCGUGUCUGAGGCU
ensembl:miRNA